rnacentral:rRNA from 1 species
GACAGCAGCAGCCGCGGUAAUACGAAGGGGGCUAGCGUUGUUCGGAAUUACUGGGCGUAAAGCGCACGUAGGCGGAUAUUUAAGUCAGGGGUGAAAUCCCGCAGCUCAACUGCGGAACUGCCUUUGAUACUGGGUAUCUUGAGUAUGGAAGAGGUUAGUGGAAUUGCGAGUGUAGAGGUGAAAUUCGUAGAUAUUCGCAGGAACACCAGUGGCGAAGGCGGCUAACUGGUCCAUAACUGACGCUGAGGUGCGAAAGCGUGGGGAGCAAACAGGAUUAGAUACCCCCGUAGUCCCUGUCUCUUAUAA